CCAAGGAGUUUAGCAUUAAUGCGAGUCGAAGAGUGAUAAACUCAGAGGCGCAGUGAAAGCGAACAUUUGGAAACCUUAACAGGUUGAGGAGGUGUUGCGUCGUUGACAAAACAUCCUACCUAGAGCAUUAAUGCUGAGACCCGAAAGAUGGUGAACUAUGCCGGAGUAGGGCAAAGCCAGAGGAAACUCUGGUGGAGGCUCGUAGCGAUGCUGACGUGCAAAUCGCUCGUCGAACUUGGGUAUAGGGGCGAAAGACUAAUCGAACCAUCUAGUAGCUGGUUCCCUCCGAAGUUUCUCUCAGGAUAGCGGGCCGACAGUGGGUUGUUUUGUGUGGUAAAGCGAAUGAUUAGCGUAUUUGGGGUCGUAAUGUCUUCGGUCGAUUCUCAAACUUUAAAUACGCAAGAUAGAGAUGGUUGCUUAAGUGAACCUCUCUACUGAAAACGUCGGCCCUGUGGGCCACUUUUGGUAAGCAGAACUGGCGAUAUGGGAUGAACCAUAAGUUUGGUUAAGGCGUCAAAAUAUCCGCUUAUAGAUCCCACAAAAGGUGUUGGUUCAUCUAGACAGCAGGACGGUGGCCAUGGAAGUCGGNNNNCGCUAAGGAGUGUGUAACAACUCACCUGCCGAAUGAACUAGCCCUGAAAAUGGAUGACGCUUAAGCGGAUUGCCGACACCAGACCGUUUUGGUAAGAAGCGACCAGAAUGAGUAGGAGGGCGUGGCGGUUUUGUUGAGAAGGAUGAGACGCAAGUCUAUCUGAAACGGCCGCUAGUGCAGAUCUUGGUGGUAGUAGCAAAUAUUCAAGCGAGAUCCUUGAAGGGCGAAGCGGGGAAGGGUUCCACGCGAACAUUGAUUGGGCGUGGGUGAGUCGUUCCUAAGCCGGGUGGUAAUCGUUCUUCGAUCGGCGAAAGGGAAGCGGGUUAAAAUUCUCGCACACGGAUGUGGAGGCGGUGACGCAAAUUGAGGUGGAGACGUUAGCGAUGGCACUGGGCAGAGUUGUCUUUUCUGUUUAACCUGUGAGUGCACUCUGUGGAAUCCGAUUAUCGGGAGAAACAGGUGCUUAUGGGAAGAGCGUCGGGGCGUCCCCGGCGUCCAGUACGCCAUCGAUAGCCCCUGAAAAUCCAUCUGCAAUGAAAUUUCACGCCGUGGCGUACCGAUAACCGCAUCAGGUCCCCAAGGUGAACAGCCUCUGCUCAAUAUGAACAAUGCAGGUAAGGGAAGUCGGCAAAAUAGACCCGUAACUUUGGGAAAAGGGUUGGCUCUAGUGGGGUGGAGGAUUUUACUGGAUCAUUGGGAUUUGGUGUUGUCGGUCGGGCGGAGUUAACUGUGGCAACACGGUUUCGGCUCUUCCUGAUCGCUUCGCUGAGUUCGGAUGGUCCGACCUCCAGCAUGCUCCAAACUAGAACUGCAACGGGCAAAGGGAAUCCGACUGUUUAAUAAAACAAAGCAUGNNNNNNNNNNNNNNNNNNNNNNNNNNNNNNNNNNNNNNNNNNNNNNNNNNNNNGUCAAAGUGAAGAGAUUCAAACAAGCGCGGGUAAACAGCGGGAGUAACUAUGACUCUCUUAAGGUAGCCAAAUGCCUCGUCAUCUAAUUAGUGACGCGCAUGAAUGGAUUAACGAGAUUCCUACUGUCCCUAUCUGCUUCUAGCGAAACCACAGCCGAGGGAACGGGCUCGGCGAAAUCGGCGGGGAAAGAAGACCCUGUUGAGCUUGACUCUAUUCUAAUUUUGUGACGCAAGUUAGGAGGUGUAGCAUAGGUGGGAGUCGCAAGACGCCAAUGAAAUACCACUACUCUUAAUCUUGUUUUACUUAUGGCAUUAGACUGCACGAUCUUUACGGUCUAUUUUAGCAUCAACUUGGAUAAUGGCAUAUGCUCGUCAGAGUAAUGUCCCCUUGGAGCAGCGUGCCUGACAUAUUUAGGAGGGGAGUUUGGCUGGGGCGGCACAUCUUCUACAAGACAACGAAGGUGUCCAAAGAUAAGCUCAGUGAGAACAGAAAUCUCACGUAGCGCAAAAGGGUAAAAGCUUGUUUGAUUUCGAUUUUCAGUGUGAGUUGAAAACGCGAAAGCGUGGCCUAUCGAUCCUUUCACAAUUCGAGGUUUGAAGCGAGAGGUGUCAGAAAAGUUACCACAGGGAUAACUGGCUUGUG
rnacentral:rRNA from 1 species